ensembl:lncRNA novel transcript
UAACACCUUCAAGCAACAACCACUCAGUCAAGACAGAAUGCUGGCUGCACAUUCGUUACCACAGAUUCAUCUUGCCUCGUUUUAUGAACUCCAUGCAAAUAAAAUCAGACACCUUGCCCUUCAGGAGGCAGAGGGCGGUUGAGUCACUGUGGUCGUCUAAGAACUAAGGACAUCUAGUUACGUACAGAGUCUUCGCCAUCCUCCUCCGACCUCCAAUAUCCAAGGAACAACUUGCAAAGUGGUCUGUUUUCCCAGCAGGAAAAUCCACUGGGGCGGGGCGUGGGCCAGUGUGGGUGGAGGAAUGACUCCUCUCCCAGGGGUGAGAUUCUUGAAGCUUGAAUUGUCCGAGCUGUUGUUUCCUCCCCUUCUUGGUCACUGCAAAUGCAAUUAUGAAAUAAUUCUCGGGGAAGCAUGAGCAACAUACUCUGCAGUGACUCCAGACUGGACCUUCCAGCUUUGAUCAUUUGCAGGACUCAAGUCCACACAGGAGAUUGAGAGAAGAAAAAAGGACUCAGAGGCAAAGACAGCUCUGAGCCCCUAAGGGAAAGCUCAAAG